rnacentral:rRNA from 1 species
UUCCGUUAAUUGAUUAUGACGUACUUGUACUGAUUGAGAUUUUAACACGAAGUGAGUGGCGAACGGGUGAGUAACACGUGGGUAACCUGCCCAGAAGUAGGGGAUAACACCUGGAAACAGAUGCUAAUACCGUAUAACAGAGAAAACCGCAUGGUUUUCUUUUAAAAGAUGGCUCUGCUAUCACUUCUGGAUGGACCCGCGGCGUAUUAGCUAGUUGGUGAGGUAAAGGCUCACCAAGGCAGUGAUACGUAGCCGACCUGAGAGGGUAAUCGGCCACAUUGGGACUGAGACACGGCCCAGACUCCUACGGGAGGCAGCAGUAGGGAAUCUUCCACAAUGGACGCAAGUCUGAUGGAGCAACGCCGCGUGAGUGAAGAAGGGUUUCGGCUCGUAAAGCUCUGUUGUUAAAGAAGAACGUGGGUAAGAGUAACUGUUUACCCAGUGACGGUAUUUAACCAGAAAGCCACGGCUAACUACGUGCCAGCAGCCGCGGUAAUACGUAGGUGGCAAGCGUUAUCCGGAUUUAUUGGGCGUAAAGCGAGCGCAGGCGGUCUUUUAAGUCUAAUGUGAAAGCCUUCGGCUCAACCGAAGAAGUGCAUUGGAAACUGGGAGACUUGAGUGCAGAAGAGGACAGUGGAACUCCAUGUGUAGCGGUGAAAUGCGUAGAUAUAUGGAAGAACACCAGUGGCGAAGGCGGCUGUCUGGUCUGCAACUGACGCUGAGGCUCGAAAGCAUGGGUAGCGAACAGGAUUAGAUACCCUGGUAGUCCAUGCCGUAAACGAUGAUUACUAAGUGUUGGAGGGUUUCCGCCCUUCAGUGCUGCAGCUAACGCAUUAAGUAAUCCGCCUGGGGAGUACGACCGCAAGGUUGAAACUCAAAAGAAUUGACGGGGGCCCGCACAAGCGGUGGAGCAUGUGGUUUAAUUCGAAGCUACGCGAAGAACCUUACCAGGUCUUGACAUCUUCUGACAGUCUAAGAGAUUAGAGGUUCCCUUCGGGGACAGAAUGACAGGUGGUGCAUGGUUGUCGUCAGCUCGUGUCGUGAGAUGUUGGGUUAAGUCCCGCAACGAGCGCAACCCUUAUUACUAGUUGCCAGCAUUAAGUUGGGCACUCUAGUGAGACUGCCGGUGACAAACCGGAGGAAGGUGGGGACGACGUCAAAUCAUCAUGCCCCUUAUGACCUGGGCUACACACGUGCUACAAUGGAUGGUACAACGAGUCGCGAGACCGCGAGGUUAAGCUAAUCUCUUAAAACCAUUCUCAGUUCGGACUGUAGGCUGCAACUCGCCUACACGAAGUCGGAAUCGCUAGUAAUCGCGGAUCAGCAUGCCGCGGUGAAUACGUUCCCGGGCCUUGUACACACCGCCCGUCACACCAUGAGAGUUUGUAACACCCAAAGCCGGUGGG